rnacentral:rRNA from 1 species
UACGGAAGGCAGCAGUGGGGAAUAUUGCACAAUGGGCGCAAGCCUGAUGCAGCCAUGCCGCGUGUAUGAAGAAGGCCUUCGGGUUGUAAAGUACUUUCAGUCGUGAGGAGGUGUUAAGGUUAAUAACCUUAGCAAUUGACGUUAGCGACAGAAGAAGCACCGGCUAACUCCGUGCCAGCAGCCGCGGUAAUACGGAGGGUGCGAGCGUUAAUCGGAAUUACUGGGCGUAAAGGGCACGCAGGCGGUUAAUUAAGUUGGAUGUGAAAUCCCCGGGCUUAACCUGGGAAUGGCAUUCAAGCUGGUUAGCUAGAGUCUUGUAGAGGGGGUAGAAUUCCAUGUGUAGCGGUGAAUGCGUAGAGAUGUGGAGGAAUACCGGUGGCGAAGGCGGCCCCUGGACAAAGACUGACGCUCAUGUGCGAAAGCGUGGGGAGCAAAC